rnacentral:rRNA from 1 species
CCUACGGGAGGCAGCAGUGGGGAAUAUUGGACAAUGGGCGAAAGCCUGAUCCAGCCAUGCCGCGUGUGUGAAGAAGGCCUUCGGGUUGUAAAGCACUUUCAGUGGGGAAGAAAGCCUUGGGGCUAAUACCCUCGAGGAAGGACAUCACCCACAGAAGAAGCACCGGCUAACUCCGUGCCAGCAGCCGCGGUAAUACGGAGGGUGCGAGCGUUAAUCGGAAUUACUGGGCGUAAAGCGCGCGUAGGCGGUCUGAUAAGCCGGUUGUGAAAGCCCCGGACUCAACCUGGGAACGGCAUCCGGAACUGUCAGGCUAGAGUGCAGGAGAGGAAGGUAGAAUUCCCGGUGUAGCGGUGAAAUGCGUAGAGAGCGGGAGGAAUACCAGUGGCGAAGGCGGCCUUCUGGACUGACACUGACGCUGAGGUGCGAAAGCGUGGGUAGCAAACAGGAUUAGAUACCCUAGUAGUC